rnacentral:rRNA from 1 species
UACGUAGGUGGCAAGCGUUUGUCCGGAUUUAUUGGGUUUAAAGGGUGCGUAGGCGGCCCCAUAAGUCAGUGCUGAAAUACUCUAGCUCAACUAGAGGGGUGGCAUUGAUACUGCGGGGCUUGAGUGGAGUCGAGGUAGGCGGAAUUGACGGUGUAGCGGUGAAAUGCUUAGAUAUCGUCAAGAACACCGAUAGUGUAGACAGCUUACUAGGCUUCAACUGACGCUGAGGCACGAAAGUGUGGGGAUCAAACAGG